rnacentral:rRNA from 1 species
GCUGCGAGCGACAGGGAGGAGCCCAGCACCGAAUCCCAGGGGCGAUGCCCCUCGGGAAAUGUGGUGUUCGGGAGGGUCCGUCAUACCAGCUGACCGAGCCGAGUCCAAGUCCAUCUUGAACGGGGCCACGGUCCGAAGAGGGUGCCAGGCCCGUAGUCGGCCGGCAACGUCAGCUGGUGGGCCUCUCCUUAGAGUCAGGUUGCUUGAGAGUGCAGCCCUAAGUGGGUGGUAAACUCCAUCUAAGGCUAAAUAUGACCACGAGACCGAUAGCGAACAAGUACCGUGAGGGAAAGUUGAAAAGAACUUUGAAGAGAGAGUUCAAGAGUACGUGAAACCGCUCAGGGGUAAACGGACAAGACCCGAAAUUUCGAAACGGGAGAUUCACGUCUGCUCGCGCCCGAGCGCUCCGUCGGCGGGAUGGGUAGUCACCCCGUCCGGGCAACCGGCGCGGUGGGGCUCUCCGCCCGCUUCGGUGCGCGCGACGGUGCGAAAGACCGCAUUUCUCCCCCAGUAGAACGUCGCGACCCGUUCGUCGCUCGCCCAAGGCCCCGUGCCAAAAGUCUGUCGGGGGGGCGCGAGUCGUCCCCGGCAGGACGCGGGUGACCCGGCCGAGCGUCGGACGGUAUGAGACGGCGGUGCAGAACCGCUCUCGGAGCGUUUUCAACUCCCGCAAGCCGGCGGGCUGGAAUUGCGGCGGACCCCGGUCCGGCCAGUCCACUCGUCCGGCUGUUGGCGGGGGGCCUCUCGAACAGGUUCACCGCACCAGUCGGCGGCGCUUUGUUUCGGGCACUUGCCCGACCCGUCUUGAAACACGGACCAAGAAGUCUAACGUGUGCGCGAGUCAUUGGGUGGAAAACCUAAAGGCGCAAUGAAAGUGAAGGGAGCCCGUCUCCCGAGGGAAGAUGGGCGUUUGCCUCAGGGCCGCGCCCCGCAUUCCCGGGGCGUCUCUUUCUCAUCGCGAGUGGAGGCGCACCCAGAGCGCACACGUUGGGACCCGAAAGAUGGUGAACUAUGCCUGGCCAGGACGAAGCCAGGGGAAACCCUGGUGGAGGUCCGCAGCGAUUCUGACGUGCAAAUCGAUCGUCAGAGCUGGGUAUAGGGGCGAAAGACUAAUCGAACCAUCUAGUAGCUGGUUCCCUCCGAAGUUUCCCUCAGGAUAGCUGGCGCCCGGGCGAGGAGAGUCUCACCUGGUAGAGCGAAUGAUUAGAGGCCUUGGGGUCGAAACGAUCUCAACCUAUUCUCAAACUCCUAACAGAUGAGAACUCCGGCUUGCUUAAAAGUGAAGCCGGAGACUUUGAUCAGGGUGCCAAGUGGGCCGAUUUUGGUAAGCAGAACUGGCGCUGUGGGAUGAACCAAACGCAGAGUUAAGGCGCCCGAAUCGACGCUCAUGUGAAACCAUGAAAGGCGUUGGUUGCUUAUGACAGCAGGACGGUGGCCAUGGAAGUCGGCAUCCGCUAAGGAGUGUGUAACGACUCACCUGCCGAAGCAACUAGCCCUGAAAAUGGAUGGCGCUGUAGCGUCGUGCCUAUACUCUGCCGUCAACGGCAAACCCGGCAUUCCGUUCGCGGAUGCGCCGUUAGGCCUUGACGAGUAGGAGGGUCGCGGCGGUGUGCGCAGAAGGGUCUGGGCGUGAGCCUGCCUGGAGCCGCCGUCGGUGCAGAUCUUGGUGGUAGUAGCAAAUACUCCAGCGAGGCCCUGGAGGACUGAUGUGGAGAAGGGUUUCUUGUGAACAGCUGUUGCACAAGAGUCAGUCGAUCCUAAGCCCUAGGAGAAAUCCGAUGUCGAUGGGACGCCGUUAAGCCUCUCGCCGUGCUGGCCGAGCCGUCUUCGUCGUCUCGGCCGGAGCGACAGUGAGUCUGCGCCCGUCGGGCGAAAGGGAAUCCGGUUCCUAUUCCGGAACCCGGCAGCGGAACCGUUCCAAUUCGUGCUCUCGUUCGAGUGCUCGUCGGGGUAACCCAACAAGACCCGGAGACGCCGUCGGGAGAUUCGGGGAGAGUUGUCUCUUCUCUAUAAGCGUUCGAGUUCCCUGGAAACCUCUAGCAGGGAGAUAGGGUUUGGAACGCGAAGAGCACCGCAGUUACAGCGGUGUCCGAAUCGUCCCCACGGACCUUGAAAAUCCGGGAGAGGGCCACGAGGAACCCCGCGCCGGCUCGUACCCAUAUCCGCAGCAGGUCUCCAAGGUCAAUAGCCUCUAGUCGAUAGAAUAAUGUAGGUAAGGGAAGUCGGCAAAUCCGAUCCGUAACUUCGGGAUAAGGAUUGGCUCUGAGGAUCGUGGCGAGCCGGGCUUGGUUGGGAAGUGGAGAAGUGUCAACGUGCCGGGCCUGGGCGAGGUGAACGGGCUUCGCUCGGGAUCCGAGCUCGGUCCCGUGUCUUGGCCGCCCACGGACCUUCCUUGCUGUCAGCCGUAGGUGUCUCCCUGGGUUUACCUUCGGAACCCUGCAGGCUUAUCGGCCGCCAUUCAACGAUCAGCUCAGAACUGGCACGGACCAUGGGAAUCCGA